UUAAGCGACUAAGCGUACACGGUGGAUGCCCUGGCAGUCAGAGGCGAUGAAGGACGUGCUAAUCUGCGAUAAGCGUCGGUAAGGUGAUAUGAACCGUUAUAACCGGCGAUUUCCGAAUGGGGAAACCCAGUGUGAUUCGUCACACUAUCAUUAACUGAAUCCAUAGGUUAAUGAGGCGAACCGGGGGAACUGAAACAUCUAAGUACCCCGAGGAAAAGAAAUCAACCGAGAUUCCCCCAGUAGCGGCGAGCGAACGGGGAGCAGCCCAGAGUCUGAAUCAGUGUGUGUGUUAGUGGAAGCGUCUGGAAAGGCGCGCGAUACAGGGUGACAGCCCCGUACACAAAAAUGCACAUGCUGUGAGCUCGAUGAGUAGGGCGGGACACGUGGUAUCCUGUCUGAAUAUGGGGGGACCAUCCUCCAAGGCUAAAUACUCCUGACUGACCGAUAGUGAACCAGUACCGUGAGGGAAAGGCGAAAAGAACCCCGGCGAGGGGAGUGAAAAAGAACCUGAAACCGUGUACGUACAAGCAGUGGGAGCCUCUUUUAUGGGGUGACUGCGUACCUUUUGUAUAAUGGGUCAGCGACUUAUAUUCUGUAGCAAGGUUAACCGAAUAGGGGAGCCGAAGGGAAACCGAGUCUUAACUGGGCGUUAAGUUGCAGGGUAUAGACCCGAAACCCGGUGAUCUAGCCAUGGGCAGGUUGAAGGUUGGGUAACACUAACUGGAGGACCGAACCGACUAAUGUUGAAAAAUUAAGCGGAUGACUUGUGGCUGGGGGUGAAAGGCCAAUCAAACCGGGAGAUAGCUGGUUCUCCCCGAAAGCUAUUUAGGUAGCGCCUCGUGAAUUCAUCUCCGGGGGUAGAGCACUGUUUCGGCAAGGGGGUCAUCCCGACUUACCAACCCGAUGCAAACUGCGAAUACCGGAGAAUGUUAUCACGGGAGACACACGGCGGGUGCUAACGUCCGUCGUGAAGAGGGAAACAACCCAGACCGCCAGCUAAGGUCCCAAAGUCAUGGUUAAGUGGGAAACGAUGUGGGAAGGCCCAGACAGCCAGGAUGUUGGCUUAGAAGCAGCCAUCAUUUAAAGAAAGCGUAAUAGCUCACUGGUCGAGUCGGCCUGCGCGGAAGAUGUAACGGGGCUAAACCAUGCACCGAAGCUGCGGCAGCGACGCUUAUGCGUUGUUGGGUAGGGGAGCGUUCUGUAAGCCUGUGAAGGUGUGCUGUGAGGCAUGCUGGAGGUAUCAGAAGUGCGAAUGCUGACAUAAGUAACGAUAAAGCGGGUGAAAAGCCCGCUCGCCGGAAGACCAAGGGUUCCUGUCCAACGUUAAUCGGGGCAGGGUGAGUCGACCCCUAAGGCGAGGCCGAAAGGCGUAGUCGAUGGGAAACAGGUUAAUAUUCCUGUACUUGGUGUUACUGCGAAGGGGGGACGGAGAAGGCUAUGUUGGCCGGGCGACGGUUGUCCCGGUUUAAGCGUGUAGGCUGGUUUUCCAGGCAAAUCCGGAAAAUCAAGGCUGAGGCGUGAUGACGAGGCACUACGGUGCUGAAGCAACAAAUGCCCUGCUUCCAGGAAAAGCCUCUAAGCAUCAGGUAACAUCAAAUCGUACCCCAAACCGACACAGGUGGUCAGGUAGAGAAUACCAAGGCGCUUGAGAGAACUCGGGUGAAGGAACUAGGCAAAAUGGUGCCGUAACUUCGGGAGAAGGCACGCUGAUAUGUAGGUGAAGCGACUUGCUCGUGGAGCUGAAAUCAGUCGAAGAUACCAGCUGGCUGCAACUGUUUAUUAAAAACACAGCACUGUGCAAACACGAAAGUGGACGUAUACGGUGUGACGCCUGCCCGGUGCCGGAAGGUUAAUUGAUGGGGUCAGCGCAAGCGAAGCUCUUGAUCGAAGCCCCGGUAAACGGCGGCCGUAACUAUAACGGUCCUAAGGUAGCGAAAUUCCUUGUCGGGUAAGUUCCGACCUGCACGAAUGGCGUAAUGAUGGCCAGGCUGUCUCCACCCGAGACUCAGUGAAAUUGAACUCGCUGUGAAGAUGCAGUGUACCCGCGGCAAGACGGAAAGACCCCGUGAACCUUUACUAUAGCUUGACACUGAACAUUGAGCCUUGAUGUGUAGGAUAGGUGGGAGGCUUUGAAGUGUGGACGCCAGUCUGCAUGGAGCCGACCUUGAAAUACCACCCUUUAAUGUUUGAUGUUCUAACGUUGCCCCUAAUCGGGGUUGCGGACAGUGUCUGGUGGGUAGUUUGACUGGGGCGGUCUCCUCCUAAAGAGUAACGGAGGAGCACGAAGGUUGGCUAAUCCUGGUCGGACAUCAGGAGGUUAGUGCAAUGGCAUAAGCCAGCUUGACUGCGAGCGUGACGGCGCGAGCAGGUGCGAAAGCAGGUCAUAGUGAUCCGGUGGUUCUGAAUGGAAGGGCCAUCGCUCAACGGAUAAAAGGUACUCCGGGGAUAACAGGCUGAUACCGCCCAAGAGUUCAUAUCGACGGCGGUGUUUGGCACCUCGAUGUCGGCUCAUCACAUCCUGGGGCUGAAGUAGGUCCCAAGGGUAUGGCUGUUCGCCAUUUAAAGUGGUACGCGAGCUGGGUUUAGAACGUCGUGAGACAGUUCGGUCCCUAUCUGCCGUGGGCGCUGGAGAACUGAGGGGGGCUGCUCCUAGUACGAGAGGACCGGAGUGGACGCAUCACUGGUGUUCGGGUUGUCAUGCCAAUGGCACUGCCCGGUAGCUAAAUGCGGAAGAGAUAAGUGCUGAAAGCAUCUAAGCACGAAACUUGCCCCGAGAUGAGUUCUCCCUGACCCUUAGGUCCUGAAGGAACGUUGAAGACGACGACGUUGAUAGGCCGGGUGUGUAAGCGCAGCGAUGCGUUGAGCUAACCGGUACUAAUGAACCGUGAGGCUUAACCUU
rnacentral:rRNA from 1 species